CCUACGGGAGGCUGCAGUGGGGAAUUUUGCGCAAUGCUCGUAAGAGUGACGCAGCGACGCCGCGUGAAUUCCGCCUGCCUUCUUGUCUUAACGUUCUUUCGACAGUGAAGAAAAUGCCUAUAAGUAACUGUGUAUGUAUUGACGGUACCUGUAUAAGCAGCCCCGGCUAACUCCGUGCCAGCCGCCGCGGUAAUACGGAGGGGGCGAGCGUUGUUCGGAGUGACUGGGCGUAAAGAGCACGUAGGCGGUGUUGUAAGUCAUUAGUCAAAGACUAGAGCUCAACUUUAGUAAGGCUAGUGAUACUAUAAUACUAGAGUAUCAGAGAGGAUUGCAGAAGUCCUGGUGUAGCGGUGAAAUGCGUAGAUAUCAGGAGGAAUACCGUUAGCGAAGGCGGCAAUCUGGCUGGAAACUGACGCUGAGGUGCGAAAGCGUGGGUAGCAAACAGGAUUAGAUACCCCUGUAGUC
rnacentral:rRNA from 1 species